rnacentral:ncRNA from 1 species
UAACUUUGCAGCCCUGAAUUUUUCAGGCUACAUAACAAUCAUUAAAUAAUAUUGGAAUG